ACACCUAUGGUGAAACGGUAUCAUGCUUGCCUUCCAAGCGCCUGCAAAGGUGUGAGUUAGCAAGCGGCGCGGGUUCGACUCCCGCUGGGUGUA
rfam:Sphaerobolus stellatus SS14 unplaced genomic scaffold SPHSTscaffold_104, whole genome shotgun sequence.